rnacentral:rRNA from 1 species
UGGAUUCGCUAGUAAUCGCGCAUCAGCCAUGGCGCGGUGAAUACGUUCCCGGGUCUUGUACACACCGCCCGUCACACCAUGGGAGCCGGAAAUGCCCGAAGCCAGUGACCCAACCUUAGGGAGGGAGCUGUCGAAGGUGGAGCCGGUAACUGGGGUGAAGUCGUAACAAGGUAAC